CACCAAGACAGCGAUGGUUUCGAAGUCGAAAGGGGAUUAAGGUUUGGUAUCUCUCGGUUUUCACUCCGCACAAGAUAAACUCAGUCUGUUCCAGGGAUUUCUUUGCUGGAAGAGAAAAGCUGAAAGAGCUUGAUUGCAAGCGGUCUUAACUACGCAAUAGUUAGGCCUGGGGGAUGAAGAGACCUACUGAUGCAUACAAAGAAACUCAUAAUCAAACUCUUGCUCUAGAAGAUACAUUGUUUGGUGGUCAGAUCUCAAAUCUCCAGUUGCAGCCAAAGAGUUAACACCAGUCACUAUUGAGCCUGUCACUCAAGAACCAACAGCUCCCACGGAGGAUGAAGCACAUGUCGAAGUGAAAGAUGUGAAACCUAGGCCAUUGUCUCCUUUUCUGCCUAUGAAGACUUGAAAUCUCCAAAUUCUCCUAUUUCCACAUUCGACCACAGCACUUGGUGCCACCAAAGCGAAGGAGGUGGAAGCAACUCAGGUUCCGGAGGUGGAAGUAACUCAGGUUCCUGUUGAGACCAAUGUAGUUACAGUGUCAGAAAAUCUUGUUGAUGCCAAUGUCCCAGAAGCAGUAGAAUUUGGACUGAAUGAGUCGAUUCAAUAUGUGUAAAACAGAGAUGGUUCAACUAGUGAUUUCGGUUUGAAGUGAUGAAGUUAGAAGAAAG